ensembl:lincRNA
CAUUCUUGUUACAGAUGUUUUACUUUCAGGCACUCUGAGUAGGUGAAAAGAAAUUACAAAGUUGGCAGCCCUUUCCAUGCUUUGUACAUCUAAAGGCUGUAUUCUGUGGAGUAACCACAAAGCAAAGCCUGGCACAGCUGUUCAUGCUGUCCCGUUGUCUUUUAUCUAUGGAGUGCUUUCCCCUUAAAGUGAGUCUUUGAAAUUUUGAAAGCUGAGUAACUCAUUUCCCAUCAUUCCACACCUAUGCCAAGUUCCAAGAUUGGCUUUGAUGUCUAUCUAAAGUGGCUCGGCACCCUGCUGUCAUCAUUCCCUGGAUCUGUCUCACUCUGUGAAACCAUGAUAUGAUCAUCACUGUCCCACGUGAGGAGACCAGCUGCGCAUGAACAACGACAAUGUCCUUCUACAACUUCAAGUAGCUCAUGGAUUAUGUUGCUGGCCACCAGAGGGUAUAUUGUUGGGGAAUGACACGUACACAUUUUGAAAUCACAGGAAACAUCACGAAGCAAUCGUAUCUCAAAGCUUUAGAUCAUGAACCUUUUGAAGUUUUGUCCUCACCUUCAUUUACGAUCUCAUCCAAACGCAUGAAAUCAUGAGAUGGGAAGAUGGACAAUGCAUUGAAGAAUAUCUAAAUAUCUGCAUCUGGUCAAUGACACACAAAAGACCAAGAGGUAUCACGAUUCAGUGCCAACUGAAUGCAAUUCACUCCUCCCGAUAUUGUAAAGGAAGGCAGAGAGAGCAGCAGCUUCACACAGCAGCAGCUGAAGGUUCCUGUUCUGGGCAGCCAUUGGGAGAGAUUGUUGCUGUUCGAGACCAUUCGGGCCAGUACCAUUCUACUGUGUGGACAAUAUGUCCUUCAGUUUUCCCGCUGUUACCAGUAUCUUCCAUCUCUUCUACAUCAGCCAAACACACUGCUCUGGUACUGUGGUUACCUUCCCACUGAGCACAAUUAUCAUUACAACUGUUCAUAGAGAGAUAAUAAAAUGCAACAGGAAAUCCAUAACCCAUGAUGUCCAGUAACCACACCUGUUUCGGUUUAAUAAUAUUACCGAUUUAUAAGUGUCUCAACUCUGAAAGAACACAGUGAUCAAAAAGUAGCUUUGUUCCUGCUCCAACAUCUGCUAGAGGCAUUCUCCUGGAUUCUUCCUUUACUGUGUAGAUUAAAGAACACAGAUACAACAUAUUUACACAAAUGAAAUCUAAGUCUUACUUUUUUUACAUAAGACAUAUGUUAAUGACUAAGAAUUAACUUCACUAAGACAAUAACAACAUGGCUUUCUUGAUAGUCCUACAAGUUCCCAGUGUCGUCUAUAAUAUUUUCCAUAGCCUUAAAGAUGUCUGUACACAUCCAGAUGGACCAUCCUAUCGUCACACUCCCCUCUCCAGAGCAAACUGAUUACAAUGGCUUUGUUCCAAACAUGUUCAGCUAUUUUCAAAUGUCUUUCUAAACAGUGUUUAGUGACAUGAAUGAACAGCUCUACAAGUUUUGCUUGCUAGCAUUGUCUACAACUACUGUCUCAAAAUUCAUGUUCUCUUCAGCAAGAAAAUGACUUCAGCUAAUAAAUGGGAAGUAGCAGAAGCAGGAACCUUCAGAUUUAGUAUAAAGGUUAGAAGACGAGAGACCUCAAAAAGGCAACUGGAAUGCAUAUAAAGAGUUGUACUUUUGGAUAGGGACAUGGAGCAGUCAGGAAGCACUUGCUACUCAAGCAUGAGAACCUGGGCUGGAAGAAACCAGAGAAGCACCACCCUAUAUUCUCAGCAAUCCAGAGGUGGAGGGAGGUAGGAAGAUCCCUGUGGCUUGCUAGCCCACAAGCCUAUUCAAACCAGCAAGUUCCAGGUUUAGUGGGAGACUGGACUCAAAAAGGGAGCCAGGGGGGAAUAAUUGGUGAUGACAUUUGACAAUGACCUUUGGCUUCACACCCGUAUAAAAGUGGGGCAUGCACGAAGUCUAGGGCUAGAGACAAGCAGAUCCUGGGGACUUGCUAGGCAGCCAAUCUAGCCAAAAUAUCAAGAUCCAGAUUCAGGAGAAACUGUCUCAAAAAAUAAAUGAAAAAGGUGGAGGAUAGUAGAAAGAGGCAUAUGACGUAAACCUCUGGUUGCUGCAAACAUGCACACAAGUACAAGCAUUCACAUAUGUGUACACAUUCAUACACCACAGGAAAAAGUUAAAUGUUUUUAAUGUAGUAAUUAUAUAUAUGAAGAUAGAUGCUUUUGAAAAUCUUUACUAAGAUUAUAUCUACUAAAAAUAGAGGCUUUAGCUGUUCUUGGCAGACUUCAUAAUCAAAACCAGAUUAAGUGUUUUUUCCACUAUGCUCUUCUUAUUUGCAAGAGUUUGACUCAAAUGUUUGUGGCAAUAGCAAUGUUGUCUUCUGAAAUAUAUUCUUCCUGUUGUUAUGUCCAAACAGUUCAGCUCAGGAAAUGGAUGUCAGCAAUGCUGCCCUGUAAGUCUUGUUCAAGAAUGGGAUUGUGUGGGCUUACCUUUGCACUUGACAGUAGAACACAUGUUCUUUUCCCAAUUGGAUUGCCAUUUGUUCACUGCUGUAUUCUUAGAACAUGAAGGACACAGAUUGUGUCCCCAACAACUGGUAGAUGAAG